rnacentral:rRNA from 1 species
UUUUAUGGAGAGUUUGAUCCUGGCUCAGGAUGAACGCUGGCGGCGUGCCUAAUACAUGCAAGUCGAGCGAACGGACGAGAAGCUUGCUUCUCUGAUGUUAGCGGCGGACGGGUGAGUAACACGUGGAUAACCUACCUAUAAGACUGGGAUAACUUCGGGAAACCGGAGCUAAUACCGGAUAAUAUUUUGAACCGCAUGGUUCAAAAGUGAAAGACGGUCUUGCUGUCACUUAUAGAUGGAUCCGCGCUGCAUUAGCUAGUUGGUAAGGUAACGGCUUACCAAGGCAACGAUGCAUAGCCGACCUGAGAGGGUGAUCGGCCACACUGGAACUGAGACACGGUCCAGACUCCUACGGGAGGCAGCAGUAGGGAAUCUUCCGCAAUGGGCGAAAGCCUGACGGAGCAACGCCGCGUGAGUGAUGAAGGUCUUCGGAUCGUAAAACUCUGUUAUUAGGGAAGAACAUAUGUGUAAGUAACUGUGCACAUCUUGACGGUACCUAAUCAGAAAGCCACGGCUAACUACGUGCCAGCAGCCGCGGUAAUACGUAGGUGGCAAGCGUUAUCCGGAAUUAUUGGGCGUAAAGCGCGCGUAGGCGGUUUUUUAAGUCUGAUGUGAAAGCCCACGGCUCAACCGUGGAGGGUCAUUGGAAACUGGAAAACUUGAGUGCAGAAGAGGAAAGUGGAAUUCCAUGUGUAGCGGUGAAAUGCGCAGAGAUAUGGAGGAACACCAGUGGCGAAGGCGACUUUCUGGUCUGUAACUGACGCUGAUGUGCGAAAGCGUGGGGAUCAAACAGGAUUAGAUACCCUGGUAGUCCACGCCGUAAACGAUGAGUGCUAAGUGUUAGGGGGUUUCCGCCCCUUAGUGCUGCAGCUAACGCAUUAAGCACUCCGCCUGGGGAGUA